GAUCAUGGCUCAGGAUGAACGCUAGCUACAGGCUUAACACAUGCAAGUCGAGGGGCAGCGCAGUGUAGCAAUACAUGGGCGGCGACCGGCGCACGGUGCGUAACGCGUAUCCAACCUUCCCGUUACUCUUGGAUAGCCUUCCGAAAGGGAGAUUAAUACAAGAUGGUAUUCAAAUUUCGCAUGUUAUUUGAAUUAAAGAUUUAUCGGUAACGGAUGGGGAUGCGUGACAUUAGGUAGAUGGCGGGGUAACGGCCCACCAUGCCUACGAUGUCUAGGGGUUCUGAGAGGAAGGUCCCCCACACUGGAACUGAGACACGGUCCAGACUCCUACGGGAGGCAGCAGUGAGGAAUAUUGGUCAAUGGUCUGACGACUGAACCAGCCAUGCCGCGUGAAGGUGACGGCCCUAUGGGUCUUAAACUUCUUUUGUAAGGGAGCAAUAAGGUGUACGUGUACAUCGAUGAGAGUACCUUACGAAUAAGCAUCGGCUAACUCCGUG
rnacentral:rRNA from 1 species